rnacentral:rRNA from 1 species
UACAGAGGGUGCGAGCGUUAAUCGGAAUUACUGGGCGUAAAGCGUGCGUAGACGGUUAUUUAAGUCGGGUGUGAAAGCCCCGGGCUCAACCUGGGAAUUGCAUUCGAGACUGAAUAGCUAGGGUACGGUAGAGGGAAGCGGAAUUUCCGGUGUAGCGGUGAAAUGCGUAGAUAUCGGAAGGAACAUCAGUGGCGAAAGCGGCUCUCUGGAACGGUACUGACGCUGAGACGCGAAAGCGUGGGGAGCGAACAGG